GGUCACCUAGGUCAUGCUGAAGGUGUAUGACUGAUUGAUUGGCUCUUGUGGUCAACUAGGUCAUGCUGAUUGGUUCUUGUGGUCAACUAGGUCAUGCUGAUUGGCUCUUGUGGUCACCUAGGUCAUGCUGAUUGGCUCUUGUGGUCAUCUAGGUCAUGCUGAUUGGCUCUUGUGGUCACCUAGGUCAUGCUGAUUGGCUCUUGUGGUCAACUAGGUCAUGCUGAUUGGCUCUUGUGGUCAGCUAGGUCAUGCUGAUUGGCUCUUGUGGUCACCUAGGUCAUGCUGAUUGGCUCUUGUGGUCAACUAGGUCAUGCUGAUUGGCUCUUGUGGUCACCUAGGUCAUGCUGAUUGGCUCUUGUGGUCAACUAGGUCAUGCUGAUUGGCUCUUGUGGUCACCUAGGUCAUGCUGAUUGGCUCUUGUGGUCACCUAGGUCAUGCUGAUUGGCUCUUGUGGUCAACUAGGUCAUGCUGAUUGGCUCUUGUGGUCACCUAGGUCAUGCUGAUUGGCUCUUGUGGUCAACUAGGUCAUGCUGAUUGGCUCUUGUGGUCACCUAGGUCAUGCUGAUUGGCUCUUGUGGUCAACUAGGUCAUGCUGAUUGGCUCUUGUGGUCACCUAGGUCAUGCUGAUUGGCUCUUGUGGUCACCUAGGUCAUGCUGAUUGGCUCUUGUGGUCACCUAGGUCAUGCUGAUUGGCUCUGGUGGUCACCUAGGUCAUGCUGAAGGUAUAUGAGUGAUUGAUUGGCUCGUGUGGUCACCUAGGUCAUGCUGAUUGGCUCGUGUGGUCACCUAGGUCAUGCUGAAGGUAUAUGAGUGAUGGAUUGGCUGUUUGCCAUCGCUGUGGCACAUCUGUUAUUGUUAUCUCAUGGCGACUUAAGGUGAUGAUACAGGGGACAUGGAUAAACUGCAGUACCUGUAUUGGCCAGUAGAGAACAGACAUGCUACUGAAUAGGUUCACAUUUACACUGUGUUGAAGGGUGCACUUUCUCAAAGCAUCCAGCAGAGGGCAGCUGUCAUCAGUGCAAAGGCUGAUGA